UUUUCAUCUGAUGUCAUUAUGGUGUGUAGGUGGCAGCUUUCUUGGGUAUAGUUGUCUGUAUAACUGUUCACCACAUGAGUCACUGUCUGUUUCUGUUCUUCUGCCUCAAAAUCCCAUCUUGGAAAUAGCAUAAUGCAGUUGGUGACUGCAAUAUCUUAUGCAUUAUGUAUGCUGCAGUUAGUUUUGUAUAUUUUGUUGGUAGAAUCUACCUGUGCUAUAGACAGACAAAGGGUAAGUGACUUGUUAAAUUGACCCAGACUCAAUUCCUCCAAAUGGUAUUUCCCUUGAAAGUGAGGCCAAGAAAGAAUCUGCAUAAAACAGACAUUUUGUAUUCUAAGUAUGGAAAGCCUAACUUUUGUUAUUGUGUCUGCUUAAAUCCUUGUCACAGUUGUACUUCUGUUUGAGCAAGUGGCCAGUUAAGUAGAUACUAACUUUGAAGAAGUUCUGUAUUGGCCCCUGGAAUAUGCCAGUUCAGCAUACCACAUUGAAAAGGCUUUGUGGAUGCUGGUCCAUUGAUGGCUGAACUGCAGGCCUUUCCCCAGUGGAAAACCCCAGAGAUGAGCCAAAUCUACCUUCAACUGUGGCUAUCCAUCAGC